UGAGAAUGAUGAGCUUCUCACUGGUCCGUGUUUCAGACACAUAGUGACGAUUGUGAAGUUCUGACUAA
rfam:Cuculus canorus isolate BGI_N303 unplaced genomic scaffold scaffold148, whole genome shotgun sequence.